UACGGAGGAUGCAAGCGUUAUCCGAAAUGAUUGGGCGUAAAGGGUCCGCAGGUGGCAAUGUGUGUCUGCUGUCAAAGAAUGAGGCUUAACCUCAUCAAGGCAGUGGAAACUACAUAGCUAGAGUACGGUCGGGGUAGAAGGAAUUCCUGGUGUAGCGGUGAAAUGCGUAGAGAUCAGGAAGAACACCGGUGGCGAAAGCGUUCUGCUAGACCUGUACUGACACUGAGGGACGAAAGCUAGGGGAGCGAAUGGG
rnacentral:rRNA from 1 species